GGAAUAUUGGACAAUGGGGGGAACCCUGAUCCAGCCAUGCCGCGUGUGUGAAGAAGGCCUUUUGGUUGUAAAGCACUUUAAGCGAGGAGGAGGCUACUCUAGUUAAUACCUAGAGAUAGUGGACGUUACUCGCAGAAUAAGCACCGGCUAACUCUGUGCCAGCAGCCGCGGUAAUACAGAGGGUGCGAGCGUUAAUCGGAUUUACUGGGCGUAAAGCGUGCGUAGGUGGCCAAUUAAGUCAAAUGUGAAAUCCCCGAGCUUAACUUGGGAAUUGCAUUCGAUACUGGUUGGCUAGAGUAUGGGAGAGGAUGGUAGAAUUCCAGGUGUAGCGGUGAAAUGCGUAGAGAUCUGGAGGAAUACCGAUGGCGAAGGCAGCCAUCUGGCCUAAUACUGACACUGAGGUACGAAAGCAUGGGGAGCAAACAGGAUUAGAUACCCUGG
rnacentral:rRNA from 1 species